UGCAAGUCGAGCGAAUCAAUGGGAGCUUGCUCCCUGAGAUUAGCGGCGGACGGGUGAGUAACACGUGGGUAACCUGCCUGUAAGAUUGGGAUAACUCCGGGAAACCGGAGCUAAUACCGGAUAACAUUUCGAACCGCAUGGUUCGAAAUUGAAAGAUGGUUUCGGCUAUCACUUACAGAUGGACCCGCGGCGCAUUAGCUAGUUGGUGAGGUAACGGCUCACCAAGGCGACGAUGCGUAGCCGACCUGAGAGGGUGAUCGGCCACACUGGGACUGAGACACGGCCCAGACUCCUACGGGAGGCAGCAGUAGGGAAUCUUCCGCAAUGGACGAAAGUCUGACGGAGCAACGCCGCGUGAACGAUGAAGGCCUUCGGGUCGUAAAGUUCUGUUGUUAGGGAAGAACAAGUACCAGAGUAACUGCUGGUACCUUGACGGUACCUAACCAGAAAGCCACGGCUAACUACGUGCCAGCAGCCGCGGUAAUACGUAGGUGGCAAGCGUUGUCCGGAAUUAUUGGGCGUAAAGCGCGCGCAGGCGGUUUCUUAAGUCUGAUGUGAAAGCCCACGGCUCAACCGUGGAGGGUCAUUGGAAACUGGGGAACUUGAGUGCAGAAGAGGAGAGUGGAAUUCCACGUGUAGCGGUGAAAUGCGUAGAGAUGUGGAGGAACACCAGUGGCGAAGGCGACUCUCUGGUCUGUAACUGACGCUGAGGCGCGAAAGCGUGGGGAGCGAACAGGAUUAGAUACCCUGGUAGUCCACGCCGUAAACGAUGAGUGCUAAGUGUUAGAGGGUUUCCGCCCUUUAGUGCUGCAGCAAACGCAUUAAGCACUCCGCCUGGGGAGUACGGUCGCAAGACUGAAACUCAAAGGAAUUGACGGGGGCCGCACAAGCGGUGGAACAUGUGGUUUAAUUCGAAGCAACGCG
rnacentral:rRNA from 1 species